GGAAGGCUUGGGCGGCAGGCCUAACACAUGCAAGUCGAGCGGAUGAAGGGAGCUUGCUCCUGGAUUCAGCGGCGGACGGGUGAGUAAUGCCUAGGAAUCUGCCUGGUAGUGGGGGAUAACGUCCGGAAACGGGCGCUAAUACCGCAUACGUCCUGAGGGAGAAAGUGGGGGAUCUUCGGACCUCACGCUAUCAGAUGAGCCUAGGUCGGAUUAGCUAGUUGGUGGGGUAAAGGCCUACCAAGGCGACGAUCCGUAACUGGUCUGAGAGGAUGAUCAGUCACACUGGAACUGAGACACGGUCCAGACUCCUACGGGAGGCAGCAGUGGGGAAUAUUGACAAUGGGCGAAAGCCUGAUCCAGCCAUGCCKCGUGUGUGAAAAGGUCUUCGGAUUGUAAAGCACUUUAAUUUGGGAGGAAGGGCAGGUAAGUUAAUACCUU
rnacentral:rRNA from 1 species